rnacentral:misc_RNA from 1 species
UGACAAUGUUAUUUUAAUAAUCAAGAGACCAAAGCACCUCAUGGUCCUCUCCUGUAAAUUAAUCCUAAACAGAAACAAUAAUUUUUAGAUAUAUCAUUUAGUAUAUUUCCAUUGAAAUUUGAGAUUCAGGUUAAAGAAAAUCCACAGAUUUUUAUAUUCCAGCUUCAGUUAAGCAUAUGUUCAUUCCCAUAAAAUCAAAUGAAGUAGUUAGUGG